rnacentral:lncRNA from 1 species
AUUUUAUAAUUUGACGCUGUUCUGUGCCUCACUAAUAUUUUUCGAUUUCUGUAAAAGAUUUGAACUAUAUUUAAGUAUCUACGAGUAUUCUGAUAUAUGUGCUGUAAAUCUAUUCUCUCUGUGUCUGUUGUUUUUUCGUUGUUUUUUUAGACCAUGCUUAAUAUUGAGCCAAAUUUGAAUUAUUUUCGCAGAGUUUUUUUUAUGUUGUGCUGUUUCAACACGGUCCCAGAUACGAAAGAUGGAUACAUUGCAAAUGCUAACACAAAUGUUUAUCCCCGCCAUAUGCUUAAUGUGUUUGUUUGAAGUUAGAAUAAAGCAGUUAUCCUUAUUGAUUAAUGUCCGACAUAUUUGUUUUUCGUAAAUAAAAUUUAAACAAAUUUUGCAAAUAGUUUUCUUGUUCGAAUGGUUUAUACUUUUC